UCCAGCCUAGUUGCUUGGCCAGGACUUUGCCAGUACCUACCUGUGAGGGAUUGGGCUCUUCCAUUUUCCACACCUUUUGGAACCACAGCCUCGAGGCUGCCCCUCAAGCAGGAAACAGGAUUGGUGCCUUCCCUUACUCGCAUGGCAUGAUCCCUUCUGCUGGCUCCCUGGCCACAGAGAGGGCAGCCAGCAGGUCCAUACUUCAGAGCCGUCCCUCACCAGGUGGUCCUGCUUGUCCUGUCUUCCUGGCCACACCACCCUGUACUUCUGUUGAAAGCCAUGGCUGAUUAAAGAAGUCAUUGCAGUUUCCCCAGCAGCACAGAAUCUAGAACCCGUGAAACAGGAUUAAGUAAUCUCAUUGCACUCAAGAAAAGCACCGCUUUCCCAGUGUCCAUGACUCUUGGAGUCUCAGUGAUGCCAAGUUGGAAUGUGAUUAUAAUUGAAAUGGUAAUUCCUAAGGUAAUACUUGCCUCCAUUUGAUCAAGUUCUUAGGCCUACCCCCACCCCCACCCCUUCUCGCUUGGCUUGCAGAAGCUGGACUCCCCGUCCUCCCUCGCUGGCAGGUCCAGAGCCCUAGACUGCUGAGGCGGCACAGCUUCUGUCAGCUGGGUUGGUUUACCAAGUGUCUUCAGAGGGGAUGAGUUAGAGUCCUGGCCUGGGGAGAGGGUGCCUCCCCGGGUUUGAUCUUUAGGGUCCAGCUUUCUGCAGGGAAGAUGUUUUACAGAUGUGUCAAGCUGAUGUUGUAAUAUGGUUGGGGAAGGAACUCCAGACCCAACGUGUUUGCCAGCUGGGUGUGCAACUCUGGGAUCCUCUGUCUUGAAAUGAUUUCUUUCUCCUGGGAAACAAGCUACGUCCACACUAAGCUGCAAGGGGAGUGCGGACAGCUGGGAACUGAGUGGACUGCAGUUGCCGGCAAAAACCAGGCUGUGAGCUCCCUGAGGGCAGGCUCUUCAUGAGCAUUUCCUGAUGGAUGUUGCAGAGUGAAAAAUUCUCCUGGAGAAGAUUCCACAGAUGCAGAACAACUAUGCGGGGUUCCGGCAGGAGUUUCUCAAAGUUUUCUGCACCUGCUGUGCCGAGGGGCAGUAACAAACAUCUGGCAGUAAUGAACAUCUGGCACAAUGGCACCAGGCCACAGAUCACACUUGGAGGAGCACCUGCUCAGAGAUAAGAAAAUACUAGAGGUGGAAUGUUUUCCCUUCUUUGGCUUAAUUAUUUUGUGGUGGAGAUAUACUGCUGUUUGAAAUGAAACUUGAUUUAAAAUAUGUAUUGAUAAUAACUCCAUAAUAAUAA